UUGCUUUGGCGGCACAUAUACUCAAACUGGAACAAUACAGAGAACACUGACAUGGCCCCCGCACAAGGAUGACACACAAACCUGAGAAGUGUUCUAUAUUUUA